rnacentral:rRNA from 1 species
CCUAGUACGGCGAGUGAGAGGAAGAGCUCAAAGUUGGAACCUGUUUGGCCUAGCUAAACCGGANNNNAGACUGUAGAAGUGUUUUCCAGGCAAGCCGAGUAAAUAAGUCCUUUGGAACAGGGCAUCAUAGAGGGUGAGAAUCCCGUCUUUGGCUUGAGCAUUUGCCUUUUGUGAUACGCUUUCAAAGAGUCAGGUUGUUUGGGAAUGCAGCCUAAAUUGGGUGGUAAAUCUCACCUAAAGCUAAAUAUUGGCGAGAAACCGAUAGCGAACAAGUACCGUGAGGGAAAGAUGAAAAGAACUUUGAAAAGAGAGUUAAACAGUAUGUGAAAUUGUUAAAAGGGAACCGUUUGGAGCCAGACUGGCUUGUCUGUAAUCAAUCUAGGCUUCGGCCUGGAUGCACUUGCAGGCUAUGCCUGCCAACGACAAUUUGACUUGAGGGAAAAAACUAAGGGAAAUGUGGCCCACUUGUGGGUGUUAUAGUCCCUUAGAAAAUACCUUGGGUUGGAUUGAGGAACGCAGCGAAUGCUUUUUGGCGAGUUUUCCAGGAAGGUUUUCUGAGGUACUACGGUAUCAAGGUUGAUCUUUUUGGUUAUACUUCUAUUCGCUUAGGUUGUUGGCUU